rnacentral:rRNA from 1 species
UACGGGGGGGACGAGCGUUGUUCGGAUUUACUGGGCGUAAAGGGCGCGUAGGCGGGUCUUCAAGUCGGAUGUGAAAACUACCAGCUUAACUGGUAGCCUGCAUUUGAUACUGUUGAUCUUGAGUACGGGAGAGGAGAGUGGAAUUCCAGGUGUAGCGGUGAAAUGCGUAGAUAUCUGGAAGAACACCAGUAGCGAAGGCGGCUCUCUGGACCGAUACUGACGCUCAAGCGCGAAGGCUUGGGGAGCAAAC